UACGUAGGGGGCAAGCGUUGUCCGGAUUUAUUGGGCGUAAAGAGCGUGUAGGCGGCCAGACAGGUCCGUUGUGAAAACUCGAGGCUCAACCUCGAGACGUCGACGGAAACCGUCUGGCUAGAGUCCGGAAGAGGAGUGUGGAAUUCCUGGUGUAACGGUGAAAUGCGCAGAUAUCAGGAAGAACACCUAUGGCGAAGGCAGCACUCUGGGACGGUACUGACGCUGAGACGCGAAAGCGUGGGGAGCGAACAGG
rnacentral:rRNA from 1 species